AAAAAGUAAACCACGCAAACAUCUACAUAAACUCCAUCACCGUUUCUCCUCCUACGAUUAACAUUGUCGAUUCAAGUUUUAUGGUUUGUCAUUGCAUUCGAUAACCACAUGGGAAACAAAGGAUUCGAGAGAAGAUAUUACUUACGUGUAUCGGUGCGACUUGAAGAACGGUGAUGGAGUUUUCGGAACUCGCAUACUGGAUUACUGAUUUUCUGCUGUUUUUGUUUUAAUUUUCUUGGUUUAGACUGAUUUUGAUUUAAUUCAGUUGAAUGUCCAUUUGAUUUAAUUUGGAAAUUGUAAUAAUUUGUAAUAAGAUUUUCAUGGUUGGUUGUAUGUGUGAUUUUCUUGGCUGGGUUUAUGCGUUA